GGGACUACUAGGGUUUCUAAUCCUGUUUGCUCCCCACGCUUUCGUGCAUGAGCGUCAGUGUUGGCCCAGAAGGCUGCCUUCGCCAUUGGUGUUCCUCCACAUCUCUACGCAUUUCACCGCUACACGUGGAAUUCCACCUUCCUCUGCCACACUCCAGCCACGUAGUUUCGAGCGCAAUUCCCAAGUUAAGCCCGGGGCUUUCACACUCGACUUGCGCGGCCGCCUGCGCACACUUUACGCCCAGUAAUUCCGAUUAACGCUCGCACCCUACGUAUUACCGCGGCUGCUGGCACGUAGUUAGCCGGUGCUUCUUCUUACGGUACCGUCAUCCACGCGACUUGUUAGAUCGCGCGAUUUCGUUCCGUCCGAAAGUGCUUUACAACCCGAAGGCCUUCUUCAC
rnacentral:misc_RNA from 1 species